rnacentral:rRNA from 1 species
CCUACGGGUGGCUGCAGUGAGGAAUAUUGGUCAAUGGGCGCGAGCCUGAACCAGCCAAGUAGCGUGAAGGAUGACUGCCCUACGGGUUGUAAACUUCUUUUAUAAAGGAAUAAAGUGAGGCACGGGUGCCUUUGUGUAGGUACUUUAUGAAUAAGGAGAGGCGAACUCCGUGCCAGCAGCCGCGGUAAUACGGAGGAUCCGAGCGUUAUCCGGAUUUAUUGGGUUGAAAGGGAGCGUAGAUGGGUUGUUAAGUAAGUUGUGAAAGUUUGCGGCUCACCCGUAAAAUUUCAAUUGAUACUGGCAGUCUUGAGUACAGUUGAGGUAGGCGGCAUUCGUGUUGUAGCUGUGAAAUGCUUAGCUAUCACG